GGAAUAUUGGUCAAUGGACGCAAGUCUGAACCAGCCAUGCCGCGUGAAGGAUGAAGGUCCUCUGGAUUGUAAACUUCUUUUAUAUGGGACGAAACCCUCUUAUUCUUAAGAGAUUGACGGUACCAUAGGAAUAAGCACCGGCUAACUCCGUGCCAGCAGCCGCGGUAAUACGGAGGGUGCAAGCGUUAUCCGGAUUCACUGGGUUUAAAGGGUGCGUAGGAGGGCAGGUAAGUCAGUGGUGAAAUCUUCGAGCUUAACUCGGAAACUGCCGUUGAUACUAUCUGUCUUGAAUACCGUGGAGGUGAGCGGAAUAUGUCAUGUAGCGGUGAAAUGCUUAGAUAUGACAUGGAACACCAAUUGCGAAGGCAGCUCACUACACGAAUAUUGACUCUGAGGCACGAAAGCGUGGGGAUCAAAC
rnacentral:rRNA from 1 species